rnacentral:snRNA from 1 species
AAAAUCGAGGUAUAUCAGAGAU